rnacentral:rRNA from 1 species
UACGUAGGGUGCAAGCGUUGUCCGGAAUUAUUGGGCGUAAAGAGCUCGUAGGCGGUUUGUUGCGUCGGCUGUGAAAUCCCGAGGCUCAACCUCGGGUCUGCAGUCGAUACGAGCAAACUAGAGUGUUGCAGGGGAGACUGGAAUUCCUGGUGUAGCGGUGAAAUGCGCAGAUAUCUGGAGGAACACCGGUGGCGAAGGCGGCGUUCUGGACUGUUUCUGACACUGAAUAACGAAAGCCAGGGGAGCAAACGGG